CAGUCGCCGCGGGAAUACGAAGGGGGCUAGCGUUGUUCGGAUUUACUGGGCGUAAAGCGCACGUAGGCGGACUUUUAAGUCAGGGGUGAAAUCCCGGGGCUCAACCCCGGAACUGCCUUUGAUACUGGAAGUCUUGAGUAUGGUAGAGGUGAGUGGAAUUCCGAGUGUAGAGGUGAAAUUCGUAGAUAUUCGGAGGAACACCAGUGGCGAAGGCGGCUCACUGGACCAUUACUGACGCUGAGGUGCGAAAGCGUGGGGAGCAAACAGGAUUAGAUACCCCAGUAGUCCCUGUCUCUUAUAC
rnacentral:rRNA from 1 species